rnacentral:rRNA from 1 species
UGGGGAAUUUUGCGCAAUGGGCGAAAGCCUGACGCAGCGACGCCGCGUGGGUGAUGAAGGCCUUCGGGUUGUAAAGCCCUGUGGGGAGGGAAGAAUAAGCGUUGGAUAACACCCAGCGCGAUGACGGUACCUCCUUAGCAAGCACCGGCUAACUCUGUGCCAGCAGCCGCGGUAAGACAGAGGGUGCGAACGUUGUUCGGAAUUACUGGGCGUAAAGCGCGUGUAGGCGGCUAUGCAAGUCGGGUGUGAAAGCCCUGGGCUCAACCGAGGAAGUGCACUCGAAACUGCAUAGCUCGAGUUCCGGAGAGGAUGGUGGAAUUCUCGGUGUAGAGGUGAAAUUCGUAGAUAUCGAGAGGAACACCGGUGGCGAAGGCGGCCAUCUGGACGGAAACUGACGCUGAGACGCGAAAGCGUGGGUAGCAAACAGG